UACGUAGGGUCCGAGCGUUGUCCGGAAUUAUUGGGCGUAAAGGGCUCGUAGGCGGUUUGUCGCGUCGGGAGUGAAAACGCCGGGCUUAACUCGGUGCUUGCUUUCGAUACGGGCAGACUGGAGGUAUGCAGGGGAGAACGGAAUUCCUGGUGUAGCGGUGAAAUGCGCAGAUAUCGGGAGGAACACCGGUGGCGAAGGCGGUUCUCUGGGCAUUACCUGACGCUGAGGAGCGAAAGUGUGGGGAGCGAACAGG
rnacentral:rRNA from 1 species